UCAGUGUGAAGGAAUUGCUGCAGCUACGUUCCACAGUGCCAAAGAGGAAAUCAAUGUACCAGCCCCUUCAGCCACACUCACCAGUGCCAGGUUCAGGCAGCCGACCUCAGAGCUAGCUGGAGAGCCCAGACAUGACCAAAAGCGGUCUCAGACCCACUAGAUGGCACUGUGUGUGGCUGUUACCAGACUUCAAACCAGAGGCACCGCUUAGCCUGAGCUCGGCAGCUUCUAUCUUAGCUGCAUGGCUUUGAUUUCCAGCACAAGUCCCACCGCCUGGCACCUCACCCAGCUGUUCUGCCCAUUCAGCAACUUUUGGGUUUCUCAGUCACCCUAAAUUAGUGCUCUUUCAGACAAAUCCCAGUAUGCUGUGGUGGUAUUUUUUUUCUCAAGAAACUCCACGGUGAUAUUUUUCCAGUUCCUGGACCUUGCCCAAAACAUUCCAGAGGUUUCAAGAAAUAUUGAGAAAGUCGAGUCUGCAGGGGGUGCUGCACAAGCUCCUGUCUCUCAUUCCUCCCCCUCACUAACAGCAGGGAAUAAUCUGAUGUAAAUAGACGGGUAGUGCCAGAAAUGUGACAAAGAAGGAAAGAGAGGUGCUGCAUACAGUCUGAAGCAAAUGCCAUCUCACUGCCUUUCAGUAUAUGCUCAUCCCUUUGUGCUACUGUAGUGGUGCCUUGUAAAUGGAUCUUAAUUUCAUAAUAUUAUAUGGCAAUAAUUCUUUCCUGACAAGCAACCAUGACUGUGGUUGGUAAGCAUCUAUUUGAAAAUGGAAAAGCUAAAUAGGCCUUAAAGUAAUUAAGAUUCAAAGAUUUUUUUCUUCCUACUGCAACUCCAAAAGAGAAUCAGCUUCAAAACAUGCCUUAAAUGUAUAAACAGUGUAUUAGUAAGGGCAUUUCUCAGUAAGGGCUGAGGAUUCAGAAUAUGGGGAUAUCAAUUACAUCUUCUUUUAGCUUUCCACAGAAGGUUUCCAAGAAGGUGGCUAUCUAGAACUGAAUAGACAACCACAUUUUUGCUGAAUAGCUAGAAAGCUAAGGAAACUCAUUAUGUGGUUUUUAAAAAGUCUUGUGAAUUGUGGAAAAGAUAUGUAAUGUUUCUGCUGAAAAAAUGCCAUCAUAAUUAUCUAUAUGUUCUUUAUUUCACGCCAAGAAUUUUCAACAAUGAAUGCCUUUCUUGCGACCUUCAUAAAUAAAUAAAUAACUGGCAGUAUCACUGUCAUGAGAUACAUUUGUGCUUACUACUACACAGCUGUUCUGAGCGCUGCAUGUAUUAUAUGUAAAUAAUUGAUUUUCCACCUCUGACAGAUGAGGUUGUAAAAAUGAUUAAAAUAAAUACUGUUGGUUUGAGGGU